rnacentral:rRNA from 1 species
UACGAAGGGGGCUAGCGUUGCUCGGAAUCACUGGGCGUAAAGCGCACGUAGGCGGAUUGGUCAGUUAGGGGUGAAAUCCCAGGGCUCAACCCUGGAACUGCCUUUAAUACUGCCAAUCUAGAGUUCGAGAGAGGUGAGUGGAAUUCCGAGUGUAGAGGUGAAAUUCGUAGAUAUUCGGAGGAACACCAGUGGCGAAGGCGGCUCACUGGCUCGACACUGACGCUGAGGUGCGAAAGCGUGGGGAGCAAACAGG